CUAACACAUGCAAGUCGAGCGGAAACGACACUAACAAUCCUUCGGGUGCGUUAAUGGGCGUCGAGCGGCGGACGGGUGAGUAAUGCCUAGGAAAUUGCCUUGAUGUGGGGGAUAACCAUUGGAAACGAUGGCUAAUACCGCAUGAUGCCUACGGGCCAAAGAGGGGGACCUUCGGGCCUCUCGCGUCAAGAUAUGCCUAGGUGGGAUUAGCUAGUUGGUGAGGUAAUGGCUCACCAAGGCGACGAUCCCUAGCUGGUCUGAGAGGAUGAUCAGCCACACUGGAACUGAGACACGGUCCAGACUCCUACGGGAGGCAGCAGUGGGGAAUAUUGCACAAUGGGCGAAAGCCUGAUGCAGCCAUGCCGCGUGUAUGAAGAAGGCCUUCGGGUUGUAAAGUACUUUCAGUUGUGAGGAAGGGUGUGUAGUUAAUAGCUGCGCAUCUUGACGUUAGCAACAGAAGAAGCACCGGCUAACUCCGUGCCAGCAGCCGCGGUAAUACGGAGGGUGCGAGCGUUAAUCGGAAUUACUGGGCGUAAAGCGCAUGCAGGUGGUUCAUUAAGUCAGAUGUGAAAGCCCGGGGCUCAACCUCGGAACUGCAUUUGAAACUGGUGAACUAGAGUACUGUAGAGGGGGGUAGAAUUUCAGGUGUAGCGGUGAAAUGCGUAGAGAUCUGAAGGAAUACCAGUGGCGAAGGCGGCCCCCUGGACAGAUACUGACACUCAGAUGCGAAAGCGUGGGGAGCAA
rnacentral:rRNA from 1 species